rnacentral:rRNA from 1 species
GUCGAGAAUCUUCCGCAAUGCGCGAAAGCGUGACGGAGCGACACCGCGUGAUGGAUGAAGUCCUUCGGGGCGUAAACAUCUUUUAUAAAGGAGGAAAUUUUUGACGUUACUUUAUGAAUAAGGGGCUCCCAAUCUCGUGCCAGCAGGAGCGGUAAUACGAGAGCCCCAAGCGUUAUCCGGAAUCAUUGGGCGUAAAGGGUGCGUAGGUGGUUUGAUUAGUCUCCCGUUAAAACUUCGAGCUUAACUCGAAAAGAGCGGGGGAAACGGUCAAACUAGAGUAUGUGAGAGGUGUGUGGAACUCAUGGUGUAGGGGUGAAAUCCGUUGAUAUCAUGGGGAACACCAAAAGCGAAGGCAGCACACUGGCACAUCACUGACACUGAGGCACGAAACCUAAGGUAGCGAAUGGGAUUAGAAACCCCUGUAGUCC